rnacentral:rRNA from 1 species
GAUGAACGCUGGCGGCGUGCCUAAUACAUGCAAGUUGAGCGAACGGACGAGAAGCUUGCUUCUCUGAUGUUAGCGGCGGACGGGUGAGUAACACGUGGAUAACCUACCUAUAAGACUGGGAUAACUUCGGGAAACCGGAGCUAAUACCGGAUAAUAUUUUGAACCGCAUGGUUCAAAAGUGAAAGACGGUCUUGCUGUCACUUAUAGAUGGAUCCGCGCUGCAUUAGCUAGUGGGUAAGGUAACGGCUUACCAAGGCAACGAUGCAUAGCCGACCUGAGAGCGUGGUCGGACAGCCUGGAAGUGAGAAACGUCCGACACUCUUACGGGAGGACGCAGUAGGGAAUCUUCCGCAAUGGGGGAAAGCCUGACGGAGCAACGCCGCGUGAGUGAUGAAGGUGUUAGGAUCGUAAAACUCUGUUAGUAGGGAAGAACAUAUGUGUAAGUAACUGUGCACAUCUUGACGGUACCUAAUCAGAAAGCCACGGCUAACUACGUG